CUUUUACAAAGAAUAUUAAGCGCAAUUAGAAAACGGUUGCAAUUUAUUAUAAUUUGAACUGUUACCGAUUCAAUGGCCAAGCUCCGAUUCAAAAGGCAAGUGGUUACAGACUUUUGUAGUCGGACAAAAGAAAGUUUUUAAGUUUAUUUAUACAAUAUUGGGAAUUUGUGAUUUUGAUAAAAGGACACUUCUAUUAGUGGUUCAUGAUCUUGAAAAUGAAAAUACAUAUCACUGCUAUUUUCCUCAUUCCAUUCGAAGUGAUGAAUUGAAAAAAUAUUGGUUCAAAUGAAAAAGAGAAAUUGUAAAUGAGAGAUGGACAAUUUAUUUUCUGUUUGCUGCCAAACUGGUGGAUGGUGUAGUGGCUGUAAAGAGGCCAGGGGCGAGGAGGGUACCAAGUCACGGGACUAUCAGUGAAAGUGUUGAGAUAGCUGAGGCCUUCCUUGUUCCAUCAUGUGAUGGCACAAACAACCUCGGGCAGCAUUACCUUAUUCUACCACGUUUGUUGCAGACUCUCAGGAUGAUAUUCCGUCGAUUGAUGAUAAUUUGUAGGAUUUAUCUUAUAUGACUCCACUGCAAUCAUUUACAAUGAGAAGUUUAUGUCCAUUGAUUCUUACUGGGAAAA